rnacentral:rRNA from 1 species
CAGUAGCCGCGGGAACACCAGCACCUCGAGUGGUCAGGAGGUUUAUUGGGCCUAAAGCAUCCGUAGCCGGUUGCAUAAGUUUUCGGUUAAAUCUAUGCGCUUAACGUAUAGGCCGCCGAAAAUACUGUGCAGCUAGGGAGUGGGAGAGGUACACGGUACUCGAUAGGAAGGGGUAAAAUCCUUUGAUCUAUUGAUGACCACCUGUGGCGAAGGCGGUGUACCAGAACACGUUCGACGGUGAGGGAUGAAAGCUGGGGGAGCAAACCGGAUUAGAUACCCGUGUAGUCCCUGUCUCUUAUAC